AGCCCCGUAGUGUAGUGGCCAAUCAUCUUCGGUUUUGGUCCGGAGGACCCCAGUUCGAAUCUGGGCGGGGCUA
rnacentral:tRNA from 1 species